rnacentral:tRNA from 1 species
GGAAGGGUGCGAGAGUGGUUGAUUCGGCCGGUCUCGAAAACCGGUAUUCCGCAUCGCGGAAUCGAGGGUUCGAAUCCCUCCCCUUCCG